rnacentral:misc_RNA from 1 species
ACACCUCAACUCUCAUGGUUUGCCGUGAUGAGCUUGGACUCUGGGGGAUUUGCUGGCCUGCGGUCGGCUCCCCUCAAAUGAAUUAGCUUUCCAGUGUUUGGUGGCAUCACGGGUGUGAUAAAUAUCUACGCUUGUGGUUUCCUGCCAGGUAACCUUCAGUAAUGGGGGUUCGCUGGGGCUCAUAAACGUCUCUCCCUCAGCGAGGACAGUUUUUAAC